rnacentral:rRNA from 1 species
UAGGGAAUCUUCGGCAAUGGACGAAAGUCUGACCGAGCAACGCCGCGUGAGUGAAGAAGGUUUUCGGAUCGUAAAACUCUGUUGUUAGAGAAGAACAAGGACGUUAGUAACUGAACGUCCCCUGACGGUAUCUAACCAGAAAGCCACGGCUAACUACGUGCCAGCAGCCGCGGUAAUACGUAGGUGGCAAGCGUUGUCCGGAUUUAUUGGGCGUAAAGCGAGCGCAGGCGGUUUCUUAAGUCUGAUGUGAAAGCCCCCGGCUCAACCGGGGAGGGUCAUUGGAAACUGGGAGACUUGAGUGCAGAGGAGGAGGGUGGAAUUCCAUGUGUAGCGGUGAAAUGCGUAGAUAUAUGGAAGCACACCGGUGGAGAAGGCGGCUCACUGGUCUGUAACUGACGCUGAGGCUCGAAAGCGUGGGGAGCGAACAGG